rnacentral:rRNA from 1 species
GACGAACGCUGGCGGCGUGCCUAAUACAUGCAAGUCGAGCGGACUUUCAAGAAGCUUGCUUUUUGAAAGUUAGCGGCGGACGGGUGAGUAACACGUGGGCAACCUGCCUGUAAGACGGGGAUAACUCCGGGAAACCGGGGCUAAUACCGGAUAAUAUCUUUCUUCGCAUGAAGGAAGGUUGAAAGGCGGCGCAAGCUGCCGCUUGCAGAUGGGCCCGCGGCGCAUUAGCUAGUUGGUGAGGUAACGGCUCACCAAGGCGACGAUGCGUAGCCGACCUGAGAGGGUGAUCGGCCACACUGGGACUGAGCCACGGCCCAGACUCCUACGGGAGGCAGCAGUAGGGAAUCUUCCGCAAUGGACGAAAGUCUGACGGAGCAACGCCGCGUGAGCGAAGAAGGUCUUCGGAUCGUAAAGCUCUGUUGUCAGGGAAGAACAAGUACCGCUCGAAUAGGGCGGUACCUUGACGGUACCUGACCAGAAAGCCACGGCUAACUACGUGCCAGCCGCCGCAGUAA